rnacentral:rRNA from 1 species
UNNNNAGAUAGCCANGCAUGUCUAGUACGUGCCGUAUUAGGGCGAAACCGCGAAUGGCUCAUUAAAUCAGUUAUGGUUCCUUGGAUCGUACUUCACUACUUGGAUAACUGUGGCAAUUCUAGAGCUAAUACAUGCAGCAGAGCUCCGACCUUCGGGAACGAGCGCUUUUAUUAGACCAAAACCAAUCGGACCUCGUGUCCGUCCUCCGUGGUGACUCUGUAUAACUUUGGGCUGAUCGCACGGGCCCGUCCCGGCGACGUAUCUUUCAAGUGUCUGCCUUAUCAACUUUCGAUGGUAGGUUACGCGCCUACCAUGGUCAUAACGGGUAACGGGGAAUCAGGGUUCGAUUCCGGAGAGGGAGCCUGAGAAACGGCUACCACAUCCAAGGAAGGCAGCAGGCGCGCAAAUUACCCACUCCCAGAACGGGGAGGUAGUGACGAAAAAUAACAAUACGGGACUCUUUUGAGACCCCGUAAUUGGAAUGAGUACACUCUAAAUCCUUUAACGAGGAUCUAUUCGAGGGCAAGUCUGGUGCCAGCCGCCGCGGUAAUUCCAGCUCGAAUAGCGUAUAUUAAAGUUGUUGCGGUUAAAAAGCUCGUAGUUGGAUCUCAGUUCCAGACGGGUGGUCUGCCAAACGGUGGUUACUGCCCGUUCUGAACAGCCCGCCGGUUUCUCUUGAUGAUCUUCACCGGUUGUCUCGGGUGACCGGCAAGUUUACUUUGAAAAAAUUAGAGUGCUCAAAGCAGGCGCGACGCCUGAAUAAUGGUGCAUGGAAUAAUGGAAUAGGACCUCGGUUCUAUUUUGUUGGUUUUCGGAACCCGAGGUAAUGAUUAAGAGGGACAGACGGGGGCAUUCGUAUUGCGACGCUAGAGGUGAAAUUCUUGGACCGUCGCUAGACGACUAUGCAGANUUUUUUUUNNNNNAGAAAAANA